CCUCAGGGAGCUCCCGCCGCCCGGCUCCGCGCCUGCGCAGUGCGCACGGCGCCAUUCGGGUGCCGGCGGCCAUGGCUACGGUGGCGGAGCUCAAAGCAGUUCUAAAGGACACACUGGAAAAAAGAGGAGCUCUUGCCCAAAUCAAAGCGAGGAUCAGAGCUGAGGUGUUCAAUGCCCUGGAUGACCAGAGCGAGCCGCGGCCCACGCUGUCCCGGGAGAACCUGCUGAUCAAUGAGCUCAUUCGGGAAUACCUGGAGUACAACAAGUAUAAAUACUCAGCAUCUGUUCUGACGGCAGAAUCCGGCCAGCCUGAAGUGCCCUUGGAUAGACAAUUUCUUGCCAAAGAGCUGAAUAUAGUUGAAGAUGCAAGCGGAAAAUCAGUGUAAGGAGGAAUUUUGGAAUCACAGUUAUAUUCUCAGACCUCUCCUGUAUGGAAUUCUCUCUCAUUUCUUACAUGCUGGUAAAGAAGAAAAUACCCAGAACAUCCUUCCAAAAGCAUCCUUGCUGAAUUAUCCAAAGCAGAACCUUGGCAAACCACUUGGUGAGAGAAAUCAAAAAGACAGAAUUCCAGAACCAGGAAGGAUGGCUGGCACGAGCAUUGAAGAGCCUCUUAUUUUACAAAGCAUAAAGAGAUGAUAUCUUUCAUUUUAUAAUUUCUCAUUUCGAGGUCUGCCAGAUUUAAUUUAGGACAUUCUUCAUUGCAUACAUUUCUCCAGUAACUCCAGUGGGACCAUUUUAGCUUGUAACAUCUUCUCAUGAGACAGGAUGACAAGGUCAUGCUUACUGACAAUGUAAAAAUGUUAGCAAAGCUCUCUUUCCCCAGUGCUGAUAGAAGGAAGACUGUAUAGGAACUCACAUUAGUGAAUCCUGUGUCCAGAAUUGCACCUGAAUAUACUGAGUUUAUCCAAUAAAUUUUUAUAUAAUAACUUAUAAUUCUUACAUUUAUAUCUUUGUGUGUUUUUCCUGUGUUUCUGAAUAAAAUUUUUCAAUUUUA